rnacentral:rRNA from 1 species
UACGUAGGUGGCAAGCGUUGUCCGGAAUUAUUGGGCGUAAAGCGCGCGCAGGCGGUCUUUUAAGUCUGAUGUGAAAGCCCCCCGGCUCAACCGGGGAGGGUCAUUGGAAACUGGGAGACUUGAGUACAGAAGAGAAGAGCGGAAUUCCACGUGUAGCGGUGAAAUGCGUAGAGAUGUGGAGGAACACCAGUGGCGAAGGCGGCUCUUUGGUCUGUAACUGACGCUGAGGCGCGAAAGCGUGGGGAGCAAACAGG